GACGAACGCUGGCGGCGUGCUUAACACAUGCAAGUCGAACGGUGAAGCUCCAGCUUGCUGGAGUGGAUCAGUGGCGAACGGGUGAGUAACACGUGAGCAACCUGCCCCUGACUCUGGAAUAAGCGCUGGAAACGGCGUCUAAUACUGGAUACGAGAAGGGUCCGCAUGGGCACUUUCUGGAAAGUUUUUCGGUUGGGGAUGGGCUCGCGGCCUAUCAGCUUGUUGGUGAGGUAAUGGCUCACCAAGGCGACGACGGGUAGCCGGCCUGAGAGGGCGACCGGCCACACUGGGACUGAGACACGGCCCAGACGCCUACGGGAGGCAGCAGUGGGGAAUAUGGCACAAUGGGCGAAAGCCUGAUGCAGCGACGCCGCGUGAGGGAUGACGGCCUUCGGGUUGUAAACCUCUUUCAGCAGGGAAGAAGCGAAAGUGACGGUACCUGCAGAAGAAGCACCGGCUAACUACGU
rnacentral:rRNA from 1 species